rnacentral:lncRNA from 1 species
UAUUAAAAGUAGGAGUUUCUACAGGUGGGUCGGCCGGUGCAUCAGUUGGGUUAUUAAGAGGACUAGUAGGUGUAUCAUCUAAAUCCGGUGCUUGAGUUUCAUCAUCAUCCUCAUUUUCCUCAUUAUUUUCUAAGAUAGUUUCAUUAGGAUAAAGAGCAUUCAUAAUUUCAUCAUCUAAUCUUUCACCUGGUGCAACAUUAUGGCAAAAUUCACUAUCGGUAAAUUGAAAACAAGGGUGAUCACUAUCAAGAAUUACGGAAGGAGGAGGACGUCUAGGUUGGCGACUACUUUCAACUUGCUUAUCUUUUCUAGGUCGGGGAGCCGGGGGAAGGGUAGUUGGUUGGCCAC